GCGGAAGUGGCGAAACUGGCAGCCGCGUCGGCCUUGGGAGCCGAUGGGUGCCCUGGCUAAGGGAGAACACCCGUGCGGGUUCGAGUCCCGUCUUCCGCA
rnacentral:tRNA from 1 species